rnacentral:sRNA from 1 species
UGCCCAUGCGGGGAAGGAUGAGAAGCUUCGACUAAGGUUCGGCUCGAGCGUCAGCGAGAGAGCGUUGCCGCAGGCAACGACCCGAAGGGCGAAGCGCGCAGCGCUGAGUAAUCCUUCCCCCACCACCA